UACGUAGGCACCAAGCGUUAUCCGGAUUUAUUGGGCGUAAAGAGCUCGUAGGCGGUUUGGUAAGUCGGGUGUGAAAACUCUGGGCUCAACCCAGAGAGGCCACCCGAUACUGCUAUGACUAGAGUACGGUAGGGGAGCGGGGAAUUCAUGGUGUAGCGGUGAAAUGCGCAGAUAUCAUGAGGAACACCAGCGGCGAAGGCGCCGCUCUGGGCCGUAACUGACGCUGAGGAGCGAAAGCUAGGGGAGCAAACAGG
rnacentral:rRNA from 1 species